UACGGGGGGGGCAAGCGUUGUUCGGAAUUACUGGGCGUAAAGGGCUUGUAGGUGGCCAACUAAGUCAGACGUGAAAUCCCUCGGCUUAACCGGGGAACUGCGUCUGAUACUGGAUGGCUUGAGUUUGGGAGAGGGAUGCGGAAUUCCAGGUGUAGCGGUGAAAUGCGUAGAUAUCUGGAGGAACACCGGUGGCGAAGGCGGCAUCCUGGACCGGUAUUGACGCUCAGGCGCGAAAGCCAGGGGAGCAAACGGG
rnacentral:rRNA from 1 species